GUCCACGCCGUAAACGAUGGAUACUAGCUGUUGGGUGCAAACUCAGUGGCUAAGCGAAAGUGAUAAGUAUCCCACCUGGGGAGUACGUUCGCAAGAAUGAAACUCAAAGGAAUUGACGGGGGCCCGCACAAGCGGUGGAGCAUGUGGUUUAAUUCGAUGAUACGCGAGGAACCUUACCAAGGCUUAAAUGUAGUUUGACAGAUUUGGAAACAGAUUUUUCUUCGGACAAAUUACAAGGUGCUGCAUGGUUGUCGU
rnacentral:rRNA from 1 species